GGAGAUCCACAAAGGUGAGAGAGAGACACCGGGAGAUCCACAAAGGUGAGAGAGAGACACCGGGAGAUCCACAAAGGUGAGAGAGAGACACCGGGAGAUCCACAAAGGUGAGAGAGAGACACCGGGAGAUCCACAAAGGUGAGAGAGAGACACCGGGAGAUCCACAAAGGUGAGAGAGAGACACCGGGAGAUCCACAAAGGUGAGAGAGAGACACCGGGAGAUCCACAAAGGUGAGAGAGACACCGGGAGAUCCACAAAGGUGAAAGAGAGACUCCAGGAGAUACACAAAGGUGAGAGAGAGACACCGGGAGAUCCACAAAGGUGUGAGAGCGAGAUGCCAGGAGAUACACAAAGGUGAGAGCGAGAGAUACAAGGGUGAGAGAGAGACACCGGGAGAUACAAGGGUGAGAGAGCGAUACAAAGGUGAGAGAGAUACACAAAGGUGAGAGAG